CCUACGGGUGGCAGCAGUGAGGAAUAUUGGUCAAUGGGCGAGAGCCCGAACCAGCCAAGUCGCGUGAGGGAAGACGGUCCUAUGGAUUGUAAACUUCUUUUGCCGGGGAGCAAAAAGCGGUACGUGUACCGCAUCGAGAGUACCCGGAGAAAAAGCAUCGGCUAAUCUCGUGCCAGCAGCCGGGGUAAUACGGGGGAUGCGAGCGUUGCACGGAUUGAUUGGGUUAAAAGGGUGCGCAGGGGGCGAGGUAAGUCAGCGGUAAAAUUUCGGGGCUCAACCCCGACAAGCCGUUGAAACUGGCUUGCUAGAGUGGGCGAGAGGUAUGCGGAAUGCGUGGUGUAGCGGUGAAAUGCGUAGAUAUCACGCAGAACUCCGAUUGCGAAGGCGACAUACCGGCGCCCAACUGACGCUCAGGCACGAAAGCGUGGGUAUCGAACAGGAUUAGAUACCCUUGUAGUC
rnacentral:rRNA from 1 species